GCAACUAAAUACGCUUCCACA
rnacentral:miRNA from 15 species